rnacentral:pre_miRNA from 1 species
CUUACAUGAGUUGUUUUGGCAUUCUGUCCACCUCCACUUUGAUAAAUAUAUAUUUUCACUACUCUACUUUAAAUCUUUAUAUAUAUCCAGCUAGACUGGGAAAGAUGGAGGUGGGUAUGCUGCCAACAGACCUCUGUUAG